rnacentral:rRNA from 1 species
UACGGGGGGGCAAGCGUUGUUCGGAAUUACUGGGCGUAAAGGGUUCGUAGGUGGCCCGCUAAGUCACACGUGAAAUCCCUCAGCUUAACUGGGGAACUGCGUGUGAGACUGGCAGGCUUGAGUGCAGGAGAGGAACGCGGAAUUCCAGGUGUAGCGGUGAAAUGCGUAGAUAUCUGGAGGAACACCGGUGGCGAAGGCGGCGUUCGUGGACUGUAUCUGACACUGAGGAACGAAAGCCAGGGGAGCAAACGGGAGUUAGAUGACCCGGGAUAGUCCCGA